rnacentral:tRNA from 1 species
GCUGGGGUACCGAAGCGGUCAAACGGGAUAGGCUUAGGACCUAUUGGCUUAGUGCCUUCGCAGGUUCAAGUCCUGCCUCCAGCA